rnacentral:rRNA from 1 species
GAUGAACGCUGGCGGCGUGCUUAACACAUGCAAGUCGAACGAAGCACUUACCUGAUUUCCUUCGGGGAUGAUUGUUCUGUGACUGAGUGGCGGACGGGUGAGUAACGCGUGGAUAACCUGCCUCACACAGGGGGAUAACAGUUGGAAACGACUGCUAAUACCGCAUAAGCGCACAGCACCGCAUGGUGCAGUGUGAAAAACUCCGGUGGUGUGAGAUGGAUCCGCGUCUGAUUAGCUUGUUGGCGGGGUAACGGCCCACCAAGGCGACGAUCAGUAGCCGGCCUGAGAGGGCGACCGGCCACAUUGGGACUGAGACACGGCCCAGACUCCUACGGGAGGCAGCAGUGGGGAAUAUUGCACAAUGGGGGAAACCCUGAUGCAGCGACGCCGCGUGAGCGAUGAAGUAUUUCGGUAUGUAAAGCUCUAUCAGCAGGGAAGAUAAUGACGGUACCUGACUAAGAAGCUCCGGCUAAAUACGUGCCAGCAGCCGCGGUAAUACGUAUGGAGCAAGCGUUAUCCGGAUUUACUGGGUGUAAAGGGAGCGUAGGCGGUCCUGCAAGUCUGAUGUGAAAGGCCGGGGCUCAACCCCGGGACUGCAUUGGAAACUGUAGGACUAGAGUGUCGGAGGGGUAAGUGGAAUUCCUAGUGUAGCGGUGAAAUGCGUAGAUAUUAGGAGGAACACCAGUGGCGAAGGCGGCUCACUGGACUGUAACUGACACU